CUCCCGGCACGGGGAGGUAGUGACGAAAAAUAACGAUACGGGACUCAUCCGAGGCCCCGUGAUCGGAAUGAGCACACUUUAAAUCCUUUAACUAGGAUCAAUUGGAGGGCAAGUCUGGUGCCAGCAGCCGCGGUAAUUCCAGCUCCAAUAGCGUAUAUUAAAGUUGCUGCGGUUAAAAAGCUCGUAGUCGAAAUUGUGUCCCGGGCCGCCGGUUCGUCGCUCGCGACGCCAACUGGCGCGCACGCGGGACGUCCAGCCGGUACCACGAACCCGCCGACGGUGCUCUUAACCGAGUGUCCAGGCGGGGGCCGGCAAUGUUACUUUGAACAAAUUAAAGUGCUUAAAGCAGGCUAAACUGCGCUCGUAUAAUACGUGCAUGGAAUAAUCGAAUAGGACCUCUGUUCUAUUUUGUUGGUUUUUGUGGAACGCACAGAGGUAAUGAUCAAUGGGUGCGGAUGGGGGCAUUCGUAUUGCGACGUUAGAGGUGAAAUUCUUGGAUCGUCGCAAGACGCACUAAAGCGAAAGCAUUUGCCAAAAACGCUUUCAUCGAUCAAGAACGAAAGUUAGAGGUUCGAAGGCGAUCAGAUACCGCCCUAGUUCUAACCAUAAACUAUGCCAGCUAGCGAUCCGCCGCAGUUACUACUAUGACUCGGCGGGCAGCUUCCGGGAAACCAAAGCUUUUGGGUUCCGGGGGAAGUAUGGUUGCAAAGCUGAAACUUAAAGGAAUUGACGGAAGGGCACCACCAGGAGUGGAGCCUGCGGCUUAAUUUGACUCAACACGGGAAACCUCACCAGGCCCGGACACCGAAAGGAUUGACAGAUUGAGAGCUCUUUCUUGAUUCGGUGGGUGGUGGUGCAUGGCCGU
rnacentral:rRNA from 1 species